rnacentral:rRNA from 1 species
UACGGAGGGAGCUAGCGUUGUUCGGAAUUACUGGGCGUAAAGCGCGUGUAGGCGGCUCGGCAAGUCGGGUGUGAAAGCCCUGGGCUUAACCUAGGAAGUGCACUCGAAACUGCCAAGCUUGAGUUCUGGAGAGGAAGGCGGAAUUCUCGGUGUAGAGGUGAAAUUCGUAGAUAUCGAGAGGAACACCGGUGGCGAAGGCGGCCUUCUGGACAGCAACUGACGCUGAGACGCGAAAGCUAGGGUAGCGAACGGG